GAUUAUGGCUCAGGAUGAACGCUAGCGACAGGCUUAACACAUGCAAGUCGAGGGGCAGCAUAAAAGUAGCAAUACUUGGUGGCGACCGGCGCACGGGUGGGUAACGCGUAUGCAACCUACCUAUCAGAGGGGAAUAACCCGGCGAAAGUCGGACUAAUACCGCAUAAAACAGGGGCACCGCAUGGUGAUAUUUGUUAAAGAAAUUCGCUGAUAGAUGGGCAUGCGUUCCAUUAGGUAGUUGGUGAGGUAACGGCUCACCAAGCCGACGAUGGAUAGGGGAACUGAGAGGUUGGUCCCCCACACUGGUACUGAGACACGGACCAGACUCCUACGGGAGGCAGCAGUGAGGAAUAUUGGUCAAUGGGCGGGAGCCUGAACCAGCCAAGUCGCGUGAAGGAAAGAAGGAUCUAUGGUUCGUAAACUUCUUUUGCAGGGGAAUAAAGUGCAGGACGUGUCCUGUUUUGUAUGUACCCUGAGAAUAAGGAUCGGCUAACUCCGUGCCAGCAGCUGC
rnacentral:rRNA from 1 species